CUGCCCUCUCAAUACAUUUUUUCUGGCCAAACUUCCAAUUUAGUAUACAGAAGAACUUCCUCAGUAUAGGAAUCCACAGAGACCAGCAAAGAGGAUCAGCACAGAGGGCAAGCCCUCUUUUCACGAUAUCAGCUGUGGUAUUCAGGAUACAACUCGGCAGUUAUUCCAGAACAGCAGCUUUGUUCUCAUUUUAGAGAAAAAUAAAGAAAAAUCAGCUAGCCAUCACUUUGUGAAUGUGUACUUCAGUUG